rnacentral:rRNA from 1 species
GCAUAUCAAUAAGCGGAGGAAAAGAAACCAACAGGGAUUGCCUUAGUAACGGCGAGUGAAGCGGCAAAAGCUCAAAUUUGAAAUCUGGCACCUUCGGUGUCCGAGUUGUAAUUUGAAGAAGGUAACUUUGGAGUUGGCUCUUGUCUAUGUUCCUUGGAACAGGACGUCACAGAGGGUGAGAAUCCCGUGCGAUGAGAUGCCCAAUUCUAUGUAAAGUGCUUUCGAAGAGUCGAGUUGUUUGGGAAUGCAGCUCUAAGUGGGUGGUAAAUUCCAUCUAAAGCUAAAUAUUGGCGAGAGACCGAUAGCGAACAAGUACAGUGAUGGAAAGAUGAAAAGAACUUUGAAAAGAGAGUGAAAAAGUACGUGAAAUUGUUGAAAGGGAAGGGCUUGAGAUCAGACUUGGUAUUUUGCGAUCCUUUCCUUCUUGGUUGGGUUCCUCGCAGCUUACUGGGCCAGCAUCGGUUUGGAUGGUAGGAUAAUGACUAAGGAAUGUGGCUCUACUUCGGUGGAGUGUUAUAGCCUUGGUUGAUACUGCCUGUCUAGACCGAGGACUGCGUCUUUUGACUAGGAUGUUGGCAUAAUGAUCUUAAGCCACCCGUCUUGAAACACGGACCAAGGAGUCUAACGUCUAUGCGAGUGUUUGGGUGUAAAACCCGUACGCGUAAUGAAAGUGAACGUAGGUGAGAGCUCUUAAGAGUGCAUCAUCGACCGAUCCUGAUGUCUUCGGAUGGAUUUGAGUAAGAGCAUAGCUGUUGGGACCCGAAAGAUGGUGAACUAUGCCUGAAUAGGGUGAAGCCAGAGGAAACUCUGGUGGAGGCUCGUAGCGGUUCUGACGUGCAAAUCGAUCGUCGAAUUUGGGUAUAGGGGCGAAAGACUAAUCGAACCAUCUAGUAGCUGGUUCCUGCCGAA